UACAGAGGGGGCAAGCGUUAUUCGGAAUUACUGGGCGUAAAGCGCACGUAGGCGGCUUUCUAAGUCGGAGGUGAAAUCCUGGAGCUCAACUCCAGAACUGCCUUCGAUACUGGAGAGCUUGAGUCCGGGAGAGGUGAGUGGAACUGCGAGUGUAGAGGUGAAAUUCGUAGAUAUUCGCAAGAACACCAGUGGCGAAGGCGGCUCACUGGCCCGAGUACUGACGCUGAUGCACGAAAGCGUGGGGAGCAAACAGG
rnacentral:rRNA from 1 species